AAAUGCGAUAAGUAAUGUGAAUUGCAUAAUUCAGUGAAUCAUCGAAUCUUUGAACGCACCUUGCGCUCCUUGGUAUUCCUUGGAGCAUGCCUGUUUGAGUAUCAUGAAAUCUUCAAAGUAAAUCUUUUGUUAACUCAAUUGGUUUCUACUUUGGUAUUGGAGGUCUUUGCAGCUUCACACCUGCUCCUCUUUGUUCAUUAGCUGGAUCUCAGUGUUAUGCUUGGUUCCACUCGGCGUGAUAAGUUAUCUAUCGCUGAGGACACUGUAAAAGGUGGCCAAGGUAAAUGCAGAUGAACCGCUUCUAAUAGUCCAUUGACUUGGACAAUACUUUUAUGAUCUGAUCUCAAAUCAGGUAGGACUACCCGCUGAACUUAAGC
rnacentral:misc_RNA from 1 species